GAGGAUUGGCCGAGCCAGGUAAGGCAGUGGACUGAUAAUCCAUAGGACCGAAAGGUCUCGCGGGUUCGAAUCCCGCAUUCU
rnacentral:tRNA from 1 species